UCCGAAAUGGUGUAGUGGCUAACAUUAUCGCCUCUCAGCGAUCAGAAAUGGUGUAGUUGCUAGUGAACGCGAUAGCCCGGGGUUCGAUUCCCCGUUUCGGAA